AUGGGCGUUUCAGUUGGCUUGCUCUCAACCAUGAACCAUAACAUUUCUUACAAUCUGGCAUGGAGAACUUUAGCUGAUCCAGCACGCAUAUCAUCCAAUUCCAUACGAGAGCAGUUAGGACAUAGCCUUUUGUCCUCUAUUAAGUAUGCGUACAAGGUUGAUCAGAGGGACUCAAGCAUAAGACCAACACGUGGGUAUGCUUUCCUGUCGUCUUCUCAAGUUAGAGGUCUUGCUCCAGAAAGCAAAUAUUCACGGUUUGUAAGACAGGAAUUUGAUCUUCGAGUGGCUUUGCCUCUCGGUGUGCUGAAUGGUGCUCUCAAUGCCGGAGUGGCUGAGGGAGUCAUCCAUCCAUUGGAAUGGGGGCCUGCAGGAUCUGUCUCACCACUUGCAGAAAGGUUUUACUUGGGUGGCAACAGGUCCCUUGUUUGCCGCUUGGGCGGGCCAUCAUCGCUGUCAGGCUUCAAAGCAAGAGGUCUGGAGCCGAGAGACUUGCGAUCCUGUGGCCUCACUGAUUCUGAGAAUGGCGCUUCCACUUCUCCUGAGCUAGAUGGACUGGGAGAGGUACUAUGCUAUAAUUGCAUUCUUUUUAGGACAGAGGUAGUACCUCUGAAGCCACUCAGGGAUCUUGGAAUUCAUGGCCAUGCAUUUGCUUCAACUGGAAAUCUUGCUAAACUAACAGAGCGUGAUCUUCGGAAAUUUCCCCUUACUGAUCUCCUACAAACAUUCAGAAGUUUUGUGGGAUUUGGUGUAGUUGUGCCAACCAGACUGUUUCGCAUAGAGAUGAAUUACUGCCACAUCCCAAAACAGUUCGAUCAUGACAAGGGGAAGACAGGCAUCCAGUUUAACUUCUCAUCACCCUAA
rnacentral:rRNA from 1 species